UUGCAUUCUUCAUCUCUGUUUGGUUACUCUUUAUAUUUUCUCUUUGUCAGUAACUUAACUUCUCCCUCUAUGCAUCCAUUCUUUGCCCAAGUUCUCUGAUCAUCUUUAUAGUCACUGCCCUGAUCUCUUUCUUGGUUAUUUGCCUGAAAACACUUCAGUUAGUUCUUUUGGGGUUUUAUCUUUUUCCUACGUCUGGAAAUGUUCCUCUGUUGCUUCACUUUGCCAGAAUUGCUGUUUGUAUUUUUAUGUAUUUGGUAGGUUAUGUUUCUCGACCUUAGAGACAUGGCCUUGUUUGGAGGUAACUUAUGUGUUCCAACAGUGCAUUCCCCUCUCAUCACCCAAGCUCUGUGCUCUAGGGCUUCCUCACUGUUCAUGCCGUAUGUGUCCUUCUGUUGUUGUGGGCUCUGCUGUCUGGUAGGAUUGAUGGGACAAGGUCACCGGGUGGCUGACCAUAGAACUCCAGGGGACCUGGGACUAAUGCUGCCCACUGGUGGGUGGAGUUAGGGUCUAGAAGAUUCCAGGGCUGUGGCUCACUGUAUGGUGGGUGAAGCCGAGUCCUGGAGUUAAUGCUGGCAUACUAGUGAGCAUCAGGUCCUGGAGUCUGGUCACAAGGCCCAGGAGUCCCAGAACUGUUAUCACUGGUGGGGGUGGGAGGGCCGUGUUCCUGACAAGGUGCUUGUGGGGUCCAGGAUAUCCCAAAGGUCUGACCUGCUGAUGGGCCAGGAGUAUCUCCAGGCUGCAAGAGUGUGGUUUUCUUGUGUCAGGCGUCUGUCCCUGAUGGGUAAGGCUGGUCCAAAGGCUAGAGAUGGCUCUGCGGAUGGCAGGGAAAGGGCAGGGCUGGGCCCUGGAGCCUUUGCCAGGACCAGUGUCCAUGUGGUAGAAGGAAAUCCUGAGAAUGGCUGCCACCAGUUUCGGGGUUCCCAGGCCGAGCUACACCUGGCUCCUGCCUCUUUGGAAGACACUCCGAGAUCAACAUGUAGGUCUGACCCGGGCUCCUGGCACUGACUGCUUCUGCCCUGGGUCCUGGAGCAGGUAAGGGUGUGCAUGCCCUUUAUGAGUGAAGCCUGGCUGUCCCCCAGCCCUCUGGGAUGCCUGAAAGUAGAAGUCACUGGGGGCUACCUUCCCAGCGGGAGGCUGGGCUGGGGAGCCUGACGGGGGACACAGAGCUCUCAGUCCUUGGGGGGAACAGGAUAUAACUCUCCUGUUCAUAGGGCUUCCUUUGGGGGUAUGCAGUUUGACUACAGCAUGAAUCCUGCCCUCCUGCCCAUCGCUUGGUUCCUCCUUUAUGUGGAAGAUCUUCUCUGGUAGGUUCCAGUCUUUUUAUCAGUGGUUGUUCUGUAAAUAGCUGUGACUUUGGUGUGCCCACGAAACAUGAGCUCAGGGUGUUGUUCCACCAUCCUGGCCAGUCUCCUCCAGAAUGAAUUUUUAAAAGAAUGUCGAGUCUCCUGCAGAAUUACAGAGAGGGCUAGUGCCAUACAGCCAGGAACAAUGCCUGAAAUGACUGUAUGGUUUUGGCCUGAUGGAAGACAGCUCCUGUCCUGGAAGCUCUACAUGGCUCACCUUGUGGACCCACUAACCUUGGGCACUUUCCUGCCUCUGCCAGACCUCCUCACAGUGCCCUCAUCCCAAUCCACGGCCCCUUUCAGGUGGAAGUUAAGCAUGUUGUCAUGCUCACAGAGUGUAUAGGAAAGCAGCCAGUAGGCAUUUCAGCUGUAUUAGGAGGGGAUGCUGGUGCAGGUUUUCCCACGGAAAGGGGGCUGAGGCCAUUCCUGGCUCAAAAGGACAUUAUCUUCUGCCAGGCUUUAGAUCAGUGCUUCAUCUUUGAUUUAUUAACCACCUGAAGCUCUUGCUGAAUGCACUUUCCAGUUGAGAGGGCUGGAAGGAGGGGGCUUGGCUGAGCCACACUAGAGCCGGAGCCAAAAGGAAAAAUCAGUGAUACUGACCCUGUCUUUAUUUAAGACUUUGAUAUUCAUUUGUCAUGGAAUUUGCAUUAACCUUAAUUUAAAAAAAAUACUGCAUUAAAAUAACAUCUUUUUUGUUUUGGCUACACUUGUGGCAUAUGGAAAUUCCCAGGCAGUCUGAGCAGCAGCUGUAACCUAACCACAGCCGCGGCGAUGCUGGAUCCUCAACCCACUGAGCUGGACCAGGGAGCGAACCAGGUCUUCCCCAGAGACAAGCUGGAGUAUUAACCCACGGCACCACGAAGUAAAACUAUCUACGUUACCACACAUGCCAGCUGCUACCAAGACGCUGAGCCAUCACUUCUGGAAAGAAAAUGCCUUUUAGAUGGUCAAUAACUGUGCUCAUCCUUUAAGGAGCCAGCUGGCCAAAUGGAUAACUUGUCCUUCAAGUCCCAGUGUAAUGGGGCCUGUGGCUCAAAGGUGUGGAUGGUUCACUCUGGGCUGCAGCUUCCAGGAAAAGCAGACCUGGGCCCAAGGCUGGGAGCCAGGCUUUUACCUGCAGUUCCCGGUUCCUCAUGGCAUCCAGGAGCAUGGGCGUUCUUGCUUCUGUCUCUAUGGGAUCCUUUCACAGCUACUACAGAAAAGGCUAGAAGUCCCCAAACACAUGGUAGGUGGUCUGGAGAAAAGAAGCUGGGGUAAAGAAUCAGAAGAACGAUGAACACAAAGAUUGGCCAAAGUCCAUGUGCUGAAUGGUGUGCCGUGUGAAAGGCCGGGCGGGGCCAGGGGGUGGCUCUCAUGAGGAGCUCUCAGCCUGGAGACCUUGCUCCACGUGCGCCCUCGGAUGGAAUCUUCUCUAGAACUAGGAGGAGCUUCAGGCACCAGGACCUGGGAUUGUACAAAUACACUCUUGACAAGGGCCACCGUCAGUUCGGCUUCUCGGCACUCUUGAGCCUUCCACACCUGGUCCCUUCACCUCGUGUAAGAAAUAAAUAAACAGGGCAAGGAAGAGCCAGUACCUGGCAACAGGAGUG